rnacentral:rRNA from 1 species
UGCAGUCGACGAUGACCACUUCGGUGGGGAUUAGUGGCGAACGGGUGAGUAACACGUGGGCAAUCUGCCCUGCACUCUGGGACAAGCCCUGGAAACGGGGUCUAAUACCGGAUAACACUUCGGGCCUCAUGGUCUGUGGUUAAAAGCUCCGGCGGUGCAGGAUGAGCCCGCGGCCUAUCAGCUUGUUGGUGAGGUAAUGGCUCACCAAGGCGACGACGGGUAGCCGGCCUGAGAGGGCGACCGGCCACACUGGGACUGAGACACGGCCCAGACUCCUACGGGAGGCAGCAGUGGGGAAUAUUGCACAAUGGGCGAAAGCCUGAUGCAGCGACGCCGCGUGAGGGAUGACGGCCUUCGGGUUGUAAACCUCUUUCAGCAGGGAAGAAGCGAAAGUGACGGUACCUGCAGAAGAAGCGCCGGCUAACUACGUGCCAGCAGCCGCGGUAAUACGUAGGGCGCAAGCGUUGUCCGGAAUUAUUGGGCGUAAAGAGCUCGUAGGCGGCUUGUCACGUCGGGUGUGAAAGCCCGGGGCUUAACCCCGGGUCUGCAUUC